CGCAGCCUGAUCAGCCAUGCCGCGUGUGUGAAGAAGGCCUUAUGGUUGUAAAGCACUUUAAGCGAGGAGGAAGCUACUUUAGUUAAUACCUAGAGAUAGUGGACGUUACUCGCAAAAUAACCACCGGCUAACUCUGUGCCAGCAGCCGCGGUAAUAA
rnacentral:rRNA from 1 species